rnacentral:rRNA from 1 species
GCGCAAGCGGUGGAGUAUGUGGUUUAAUUCGAUGCAACGUGAAGAACCUUACCUGGUCUUGACAUCCCGGAGACCCUUAGGAAACUAGGGGGUGCUUCCAUCUGGAAGAAUCUGGAGACAGGUGCUGCAUGGCUGUCGUCAGCUCGUGUCGUGAGAUGUUGGGUUAAGUCCCGCAACGAGCGCAACCCUUGCCUUUAGUUGCCAGCAGUUCGGCUGGGCACUCUAAAGGGACUGCCGGUGUUAAACCGGAGGAAGGUGGGGAUGACGUCAAGUCCUCAUGGCCUUUAUGACCAGGGCUACACACGUACUACAAUGGCCGAUACAAAGGGCAGCGACACUGCGAGGUGAAGCCAAUCCCGUAAAAUCGGUCUCAGUCCGGAUUGGAGUCUGCAACUCGACUCCAUGAAGUUGGAAUCGCUAGUAAUCGUGGAUCAGCAUGCCACGGUGAAUACGUUCCCGGGCCUU